rnacentral:rRNA from 1 species
AAACUCAAAUGAAUUGACGGGGCCCGCACAAGCGGUGGAGCAUGUGGUUUAAUUCGAUGCAACGCGAAGAACCUUACCUGGGCUUGACAUCCCUGGAAUCCCCCUGGAAACAGGGGAGUGCCCUUCGGGGAGCCAGGAGACAGGUGCUGCAUGGCUGUCGUCAGCUCGUGUCGUGAGAUGUUGGGUUAAGUCCCGCAACGAGCGCAACCCUUGUCAUUAGUUGCUACGAAAGGGCACUCUAAUGAGACUGCCGGUGACAAACCGGAGGAAGGUGGGGAUGACGUCAAGUCCUCAUGGCCCUUAUGGGUAGGGCUUCACACGUCAUACAAUGGUCGGGACAGAGGGUCGCCAACCCGCGAGGGGGAGCCAAUCCCAGAAACCCGAUCGUAGUCCGGAUUGCAGGCUGCAACUCGCCUGCAUGAAGUCGGAAUCGCUAGUAAUCGCGGAUCAGCAUGUCGCGGUGAAUACGUUCCCGGGUCUU